rnacentral:rRNA from 1 species
GCACAAGCGGUGGAGUAUGUGGUUAAUUCGAUGCAACGCGAAGAACCUUACCUGGUCUUGACAUCCCGGAGACCCUUAGGAAACUAGGGGUGCUUCCAUCUGGAAGAAUCUGGAGACAGGUGCUGCAUGGCUGUCGUCAGCUCGUGUCGUGAGAUGUUGGGUUAAGUCCCGCAACGAGCGCAACCCUUGCCUUUAGUUGCCAGCAGUUCGGCUGGGCACUCUAAAGGGACUGCCGGUGUUAAGCCGGAGGAAGGUGGGGAUGACGUCAAGUCCUCAUGGCCUUUAUGGACCAGGGCUACACACGUACUACAAUGGCCGAUACAAAGGGCAGCGACACUGCGAGGUGAAGCCAAUCCCGUAAAAUCGGUCUCAGUCCGGAUUGGAGUCUGCAACCCGACUCCAUGAAGUUGGAAUCGCUAGUAAUCGUGGAUCAGCAUGCCACGGUGAAUACGUUCCCGGGCCUU